rnacentral:rRNA from 1 species
UACGUAGGGGGCAAGCGUUGUCCGGAUUUAUUGGGCGUAAAGAGCGUGUAGGCGGCCGCACAGGUCCGUUGUGAAAACUGGGGCUUAACCUUCAGACGUCGAUGGAAACCGUGCGGCUAGAGUCCGGAAGAGGAGAAUGGAAUUCCUGGUGUAGCGGUGAAAUGCGCAGAUAUCAGGAAGAACACCCGUGGCGAAGGCGGCUCUCUGGGACGGUACUGACGCUGAGACGCGAAAGCGUGGGGAGCGAACAGG